AAUUAUAUUAAGUAACUCUCAUAAUUUCUAACAUAAAAUUAAAGCAAUUGGGCUUUAAACUUUCAGUUUUUUUCUCCCGCCCACAGUUCUUUCCAUCUUCUCCCACAAAUUGGCUCGCGCGAGAAACCCUUCCCUUCUAAAAAAAAAAAAAUUGGCAAACUUUAAUCUUCCAACCCUAGCAGUUGUUCCAUCGUUGCCGUGUUCUUCGACAGUUUUCUGAAGGCACGCACACUUCGUUCAAUUUCUUUCUGAAGUCAUUGCAAAGUUCUUCUCCACAAGUAAAAGUUUCGUCAGUUCUUUCGACAACGAUCAUAUAGAGGGAAGGCACGAAGGGGCGAUUAGAGAGUUGGAGGGGCUGAGGUGGAGGGUGUCGAGAGAAAUAGCGACGACGCGGAACGACUGCCCUACUUGCCCUGUAUUUUUGGUGGUGGGUUCAAUUUCUUGAUCAGUAACUCACUCAGCUCGAAGGUUUGAAGGAUAAACGUCGAUAGAGAGAGUAACAAAAAUAUAAGCUUCAAGUUUAAAGGAGUUACUACUUAUUCUCAAAAUCAACUCAACGAGGUCCGUGAAGAAUGGGCAACAUGUGUGAUAAAGCAUGCAUUGGAUGGAUAGAUGCUUUACAUGAAGUGAAAUAGAGACGUGACAGGAGAAAGGUUAUUUCAAUCGAGAUGGCUAUCUAUCAAGCUAGUAGCAUCAUUUUGUAGACUUUGUUUGCACGCACGAUUGAUAGAACAUGUGUUUUUGUUAACUCUAUUUUGGAUGGUGAUUGUAUGAAAAUUUCGAAUGGUAUAUGACAUGAUUAAUGGAUGGUUUUUAUUAUUUUA